UGCGUCCUGCAGCCGGGGACAGCUUUGUUCAUAAGUCCUAGGGGAAGGACAGGACACUGUGGGAGAAAGGAGCCUGAAGGUUUCAAUGAUCUGGGAGCCAAGGCCGUCUUCAUCAGCACACAUGACUGGAGCAGAGCAGGGCACCCAUCCCAGCUGACUUAGCAGACCCUUGCCUGACAUGACAUACCAUGGCCUCGUUUCCAUGGACACCAACAUUCCGGAACCCCACGGUCAGGAGAGGAGGCAAGGACCUAGGAACCAUGGGGGUCUAGGAUCCCAACUGUGAGAGCCAGGGCCAGACUCUUCACCUCUGUGAGCCUCGUGCAGCACCCUCCCCAAGAAAGAACAGGGCUCAAGAAGUGCAUGUUCUUUCAUUGUCUCUCCGGAAUGGCAUGUUCUACAUGUGCUCUUCAGCUACGUCCUGAGUCCCAUCAGCAGACAUGGAGUGAACACAGCGACAUCAUUCCCACCUCACAGCCUUUGCCCAGGCAGGUCCCACCAUCCGGGGUGCUGUCACCUGUUCCGGUCCACACACCUGUCCACGGUAUACAUGGCCGGUUCCUCCUGUCCAUAAGCUCUCAGCUGAAACACCUGUCUGUGUAUGUGAGGGCCGUCAGUCGGCGCUCCUCGUUUCUGUUGAACACACGAAAGAACAGUGGACACGUGUGCAUCCUUUCCUCUCUAAGAAGAAAGGAAAAUGCAAGCCGAUGAGAAAAGACCCGACAAUGAGCCGCUGACUGAUGUCUGCCCCAGGACAUCAAUAUUGAAAACCAAAAGACGAACAAGCAUCAUUUCUUGAAAGACCUCACUUAAUUGCCAAAUAGCUUUCCAUAGCUAGUCUAUGUCCGGUGCCAUCUGCUGUGACUGUGAUGAAGCCAACUGGAAAUAAACACGUGAACGGUCAUUCUUCACCCAUGACCCAAUGUGGGGUCUUCAAAAAG